CCUACGGGUGGCAGCAGUGAGGAAUAUUGGUCAAUGGGCGGGAGCCUGAACCAGCCAAGUCGCGUGAGGGAAGACGGCCCUAUGGAUUGUAAACCGCUUUAGGCGGGGAUCAAUGCCGGGCACGCGUGCCCGUAGGGAGAGUACCCGCAGAUUAAGCAUCGGCAAACUCCGUGCCAGCAGCAGCGGUAAUACGGGGGAUGCGAGUGUUAUCGGCAUUUUUUGGGUUUAAGGGGGGCGUAGGCGGAUUUUUAAGUCAGCGGUAAAAUCUCCGGGCUCAACCCGGGCCGGCCGUUGAAACUGGGGAUCUUGAGUGGGCGAGAGGUAGGCGGAAUGCGUGGUGUAGCGGUGAAAUGCAUAGAUAUCACGCAGAACUCCGAUUGCGAAGGCAGCAUACCGGCGCCCGACUGACGCUGAGGCACGAAAGCGUGGGGAUCGAACAGGAUUAGAUACCCCAGUAGUC
rnacentral:rRNA from 1 species